rnacentral:rRNA from 1 species
AUACGGAGGGUGCAAGCGUUACUCGGAAUCACUGGGCGUAAAGCGCGCGCAGGCGGGCUGAUAAGUUGGAUGUGAAAGCCUACGGCUCAACCGUAGAACUGCAUCCAAAACUGUCAGUCUAGAGUCUGGGAGGGGAAGAUGGAAUUAGUUGUGUAGGGGUAAAAUCCGUAGAGAUAACUAGGAAUACCAAAAGCGAAGGCGAUCUUCUGGAACAGUACUGACGCUGAGGCGCGAAAGCGCGGGGAGCAAACAGGAUUAGAAACCCUAGUAGUCC